rnacentral:rRNA from 1 species
UACGGAGGGGCUAGCGUUGUCCGAAGUUACUGGGCGUAAAGCGCGCGUAGGCGGGUUGGUAAGUCCGCUGUGAAAGCCCGGAGCUCAACUCCGGAGGUCGGUGGAUACUGCCAGUCUUGAAGGUGCUAGGGGGAGAUGGAAUUACCGGUGUAGCGGUGAAAUGCGUAGAUAUCGGUAGGAACACCAGUGGCGAAGGCGGUCUCCUGGGGCAUUCUUGACGCUGAGGCGCGAAAGCUGGGGGAGCGAACGGG